CGUGGAUGGUGGAUAGAGGAGAGACCGCCAGCCAGCCAGCCAGGGCCGUUUCGUGGUGCGGCCACCGAGGAUGGAUGGAUCGUGGUUUAGUCAGUGUGGCUGUGAACGCCGGUCCGUAAGCACGGACUAUCGUCUGCGUCAGGAUUAUUAACGAUUAAAUUGUGAGAUUGAUUACCUUAAUUUGACCAUACGAGUGAUUUUCCAUAUUGGUGUUAUAUGGUUGAACUUGGGUAACAGAAAGAGUGAGCCAGUAACGACUAUAAGAAGCGGGUGGCGUGCUGGGUGUGGCGAAGAAGACGAAGACGACGAAGACGAAGGAACAUUUGUGCAACAAGUUGGACUUGGGGAAGGGGAGGAGGAGAAGGAUCCAAGUAGUAUCAGUAGGGGGACGAGGAGGAGGAGGAGGAGGAGGAAGAAGCCCCUCCUCCAGACACGCCUUGCCUUAACUGGAUAUAUUUACUCGGAGCGGCCUUUCCCUAAGGAUCCCAGGACUGGGGCAACCCCCCGUCCCCCUCUUCCCUGGCUUCUAUUUUCCCGUGAGGACGUCACCGAGGCAGAAGAAUUACCCUUUCCAGUGCUGAGGUCCCACUCGCACUCCUUCCUCAGGGCUCCUCAAGGACACGGGUAAACGUGUUGGACGUCCUGCUAGUCGGGAUCAGAGGCGCUGAUCCUUUUUUAUGGCUCCCUGGGCAGAGCAUCAGAGAAUCGGCUGCAGUUUGUCAGGAUCUCGGGAGGUGCGGCGGCAGGACGUUCAUUCUCUGUCUGUAGUGUAGGUCGAAUAGCGAAGUGUAACUUAAUAUAACUGACUCCUGCCUAGCGAACUCGACAUCGCCCUGUGCUGGUGCUAAGAGGUAAGAAGAGGCCAUCGCGACUGCGCUUUUGGGGCAAUGUCGCGAUCGGCUUCAGUGUCAGUGCCCCGUCGGGAGCUGUACGUCGUGCCGGAGCGUCGGGCGUCCUUGGAAUUGGAGGAUGUUCCUCGUCAUCUUCAUGACCAGCAGAGGGAGUACGACUCCUGGCCCUGCGAUUCCUUCUUCCUUCUGCCCGAUGCCGUCCUGGCCAUGGACGCCGGCGCCUUCAGGGCUGAUCUCAUGUCCCUUGACCCUGCCCUCUCGGCAUCCUUGCCCGACUGGGACUUGCCGGGAUUGACAGGGCGCACAGAAGUGCCAUCAUCCGUCGAUUCGCCACACCGAGGACGCCCACCCGUCCCCCACUCACCCCACCGGGCAGACCGCCGAUCACUCACGUUGCUCGACCAUCACGAAGGCCUCACGGUCCACUCCGCUGGCCAGGGAACCAUUCUCAUAGGUGGGGGUGGUGAUGGUCGAGAACACAGCGGUGGAGGUGGUGGGUCAGGGGGCAGCGCGCCCUCGGCGAACGGCCACUCUGCCCAGCAGCCGCAGCAGCAGCAGCAACAACAACAACAACAGCAGCAGCCGCAGCAGGCAAAGCAAGAGAACUCCGCUGCCAGCAAAAGAACGCCGGCACAGAAGGGAGCAACUUUUUCGUUGGUGAUGAGUGACAUCGAUAUUGGUGAAAGUGUGCCAUCUGCCAAGGGUGGCAGGGCCAAAUUGGUAUUGGGAAGAGGUGAUGCCUGUUCAGGGCUACCACCAUUACCACCAUCACGCAAUUCCUUGAAUAGUAUCCCUGAUCCAGAUGCUUAUUGGUUUGCACAAGGAGAUAACACACCACCACCUAAACAACAAAGAGCUUCAUUAGAUGGCCCUAAUGACCUGUUUUUUGGAAAAGAUGAUAAAUCCUCUGGCCUGUCUUACAAAGACAGAGAAGAGCGUUUGCGGCUGCUGAGAGAAAGACAACAACAGGAAAAGCAACAGAAAUUAGAGGAACUUAAAGAACAGGCUGCUGCAGCACAACGUUUUAGGGAACAGCAAGAAAAUGAGAGAAAGAGACGGCUGGAUGAAAUAAGACUGCGGGAUGCUGACCGCCGUUCACAAGUUGAAGAACGGAAACGUAUUAUCCAGCAAGCUGAGCAGGACCGUAGGGAGGCAGUUAUAAGGAAGAAUGCUGAACGUGAACAGCGCAUGGAAUCAAAAAGACGUAAUGAAAAGAGCAACAUUGUAUUUGCAUUUGGUAGUUCAACUCCCCGUAUGCUGGAUCCUAGGGGCAGCUCAUCGAAUACCUCUUUUUUUGGCUCACGAAGGGCUACCUCAACUACCAACGUCCACUUAGUAGAAACUUCAAUUAGUAGACGUGCUUCAGAGUGCAGUGACAUGGAUCUGAGUCGUAAGCGAGCUACUUCAGCACAUAGCCUUGACAGAAAAACAGAUGACCUGCGUAUGUCAAGCUCGAUGUAUGAAGUGUUUCACUGGGACGACAGCAGCCCAUCCUACCACAAACAUCCCCCUACUACCCAAGGUACCCGGCUGACCAAGUCUCGUGACUCGUCACUGGAACGCAAGAUCCCUCAUCCUUCUGCCCUCUCUUGGGUCAGAUCCUCUAGUCCUCAGCCUCUUGAGCCCUCUGUACCCUUGACUUCCAAAGACACCUCUUCUGCUCCUCCCUCUUCCACAUCCUCUAAUUCCUCUGACAAAACUCCCACAAAUACAUCUCAGUCACGUUACUCUGUGUGGGAGUUUGGGGAUAACUUCACUGCGCUGGGUCCCGCAAAUCAAAGUAGCGGUGGUAGCGGCAACCUGGCCUCUUCCUCACCAGCCGUCACUCCCACAUCUUCCACGCGCUAUUCUCGUAGAACUGCUUCUGUAUUUACUGGGGCUGGGUGCACUAUUGGUGGUGAAGACCUCAUGACAAGAUCCAUGACUGCAGCAAUUCCAGCAACUGCAGCAAGACGACGCACAGAUUUGUUACCAGCAAUGCCAUCCCUCCGUGACUCUCCUGGAAGCUGCCGUAGUAGUCCCCGUCAUCGGUCGCCAGGUAGGGCGUUGUCUCUUGGACGGCUUGAUGAACUGGCCCGGCCUCGCAAUCGCAAAUCCCCUCUUGCACCCCUGCAUGAGACUACCCCCUCUUCUGUGCGCAUGAAACAGCCUGCCCGCACAAUGUCCAAGAGCAUGUGUCACCUGGGCCCUCGACCAGCUAAGCCACAAUCCAGUGGAGCAUUGGACCUUAGUGGUCCACUGGAUAAGGGCAUCUCCCGCAGUUCAAUAUCUUUGGCUCAGCCAAGAAUGACACGGGGUGAAAUGCUUAGGCAGAAAAAGCUACGUGGUGAUUUAAAUGGAAACAGCAGUAGCAGCAACCCGAAGAGUAGUCCUCCUGGUCAAGGCAUGCGUAGUGGGACGGUGACCCCGAAUUCUCCCUCUCGCCCUACUUCUGCCCUCAGCCAAGGAUCCAACAACAGCAGUCAAGUUUCCCUCAGAUCCAGAACCUCUCCCCGCAAGCCACGUCCUCUCAGCAUUGCAGGAUCAUCUCUUUCCUCUGCUGAUAAGCCCAGAGACUCUUCUACACUUUCCAGAGAAAGCAGACCUAUGGAACGCAAGUUAUCGGUUGGAUCUGCAUCAUCAUCUUCAAAACCUGCACGUGCCAAGAGUGCUGGGUCAGACAGAAGUGCGCCUGCUACCCCAGCUCGAACUCCAGCUAAAGCCACCACACCUAAGAAGACACCAUCACAAGUUAAAGCAGAAAGUGCUGCUAAAAAAGCUGUGGAAAAAAGCAAGGCAACACCAAAGGUUAAAUCACAGAAAACCACACCAGCACAGAGUCCAGUUGUUGAAAGUAAACCUUUGCCUGGUGCUGCUAAGGAGAAGGACUCGGCACCUCCAAUGAAAGAGAAGUCUGUAGAACGAGAGAAAUCUGCCGAGAAAAUUAUUCCUAAGAAAGAUCCUGAGCCUGAAAAUGUAAAUGUUGAAAAUGAAGAACCAAAGCUAGAGAGUGAAAUAGCCCCAGAACCAGUAGUUGAACCAGUCAAGGUAGAGCCUGAGCCAAGUAAGGAAGAAAAGGAUAUACCUGAGAGCACAGAAGAACCUGAUGUUACUACUUCUAAGGUAGAAGUCCAGGAUGCCAAUGAGUCUGAUGAACAGGAGAAAACUCCUGCUCAGAGGGCUGCUGAAAAGCCAGUCACUGGAUAUGCAACUGAGGAAGAAUACAAAGCAGCAUUGGCUGAAAAACGGCGUUUGGCAAGAGAGGCUAAAGAGAAAGAACAAGAAUUAGAGCGUCAGAGACAGAUGGAAGAGGAAGAGCGUGAGCGAAAGGAAGAGGAAGAUUAUAUAAGAUUAAUGGAAGAGCAACGACAAGCAGAGCAAGAACGUCUUAGGAAAGCUAUUGAAGAAGCUGACAAAAACAGAGAAGAAGAAGCAAAGAAGAAAGAGGAGGAGGAUAAACAACGAAUUGAGGCUGAACGCAUUGAGCAACAGAAACGCCAAGAACAAGAGGAACGUUUACACCGUGAAGAAGAAGAAAGACAAGCUCGUAAAAGUCGGGUAGCAGCUAUCAUGGCUCGGACAAGAGGCAAAGGUGGUUCUAAUACCCCAACAAAGACUGAAUCCAAAACUCCAUCAGAAGAGUCGAAAGGUUUUGAUAUUGACAUGAGUGUUAGUAUGACUGAUUCCAUGAUCAACAACCUUGAAGCUGUAGUUGAAGCCCAAAGUGGUCAGUCAGUAGAUGGAAAUAAUUCAAACAGUGAUGCUGCUUCGCAACCUGCACAGAGUGGUGUUGUUUCACAGACAUCUAGCGGCUUAUCUGCUGAGGAAGUUAGUAGUGCUCUGUCUAAAUCCCAGCCUACUACUAAAGUUGAGAAUACACUAGCUACUUCCGUAGAACAAACUGUUUCAAAAACUGAAAACAUUGUGGUGGAUAAUGUUAUAAGUAGUGUAGCAUCUGUGAAACUGGAAGAGCCACACAUUAAUGGGGAUUCCCCAGUGCCCAUGGACACAACCCCAACUCAAGCAGUGGAUUUGCUGGGAAACUUUAACACUACUGGUAGUGAUGUAAAUACUAGGAAUCAUAAUGGAGUGGACAGUACUCCAGCACAGACCAGUCAAGGGACAGACAACCUAGGUUCAUUAGAUCCUGUCAACUCUACUCAUAACACCACCUCUACCACGCCUGCUGCAUCAAAUUUUGAGCAAAUCAUUGACUUGGGUCAAACUAAGCUCAGUAAUGAGGAUGCUGUUAAUAGCAAUCCUCCUUCACCUUUCAUAGCAUUUGAGCAGAAUCUGAACAAGAAGCAGAGCCAGGAGAAUACAAGCACAGUUCCAGUUAUGGUUUUCCACCCGUCCCUUGAAAGUGACAGAAACAUAAUGCCCAGUGGGGGGGAGGUUUGGGGAGGUAGGAUGAAACCCCAUUAUAAACCAUCUUAAGGGUCCCCACUAUAACCCUGCCAAGUUCCAUGCCCAUCGGACCAGCUGUUUGGCCGUGAUUGAAUGACGGACAGACAAACGCCUAUUAUAAUCUGCUGCUGUAAAUCUCCCCUUUUGUUCAUAUUCUCCAAAGCUGCCUGAGUGUGAUUGUGAGAAACUACAUAUGUGAUAAUAGCACUGAACUUGAAUACUUGACCUAUAUGUGGUCAGGGUUUAGAAAAGCUCCUUUCACAUAGCCAAUAGACGAGUGUGAUGCAUUAGCUUAAGUCACCUCCUAAAUAUGGCUUUUGUGCAAGUGAUACUGAAUAUGUUUUACAAUAUAACAUUAUCAUAUGAGGAGCCUUUCCAGUUAAAAAACAAAACUUUAUAGAUGCCUUAAUUGGUUUUUAUAGUAGCCCAAAACAUUUUUGACUAGUUAGCCAAUCAAUAUGGCAAAAUGCAAGAGCAAGCAUAAACAAGCAUACUCUCAAAUGGAAAAUUGCUAAUUUAAAGUGUAACUUAAUUUAGUCUUCACUAAGAUCUGUCCUUCCGAUGGUUUAUAAAUAGUAGAAUGAUCUUGAAGAAAGCUUAAAUGUUAAAUAGCAACGUUUAUACUACUAAUAUACUGUGUUACAGCAGUGUUCUGCUCUUGGAACAUAUGAAAUGUAUUAUUUGACAGACUUAAUUGCAAGAAAUGUGCUAGUUUGUGCUAAAACUGUUCAAAAUGAAUGUUAUAUUGAAUUAGAAUUGUUUAAUGAUAUAGAUAUGAACAUUAAAUAAUUUUAUGAAAAUUUUGAAUUUAAAGAAUGUCACAUACUGAAUGGGUGCUAGUUGGUGUAGCAAGCUUGCCAUGAUUACUAAAAUGUUGGAUUGCCUUUGUUUUCUGAAAGAAGCUUGACAGUUUUGAUGGAAGUAAAUAAUCUGCAUUUUAAAUGGUGUGUCAAAGUAUGUACAGAAAGUUUGUCUUAAUGGGGAGAUAUCAUUUACUUGCAGGUUUUAAUGACUUAAUCAUAUAAAAUUGUGUAUUAUGAAUUCAGGGAUUGGUGAUAUAAAUAUAGAUAUAUAUAUAUUGAAAAUAUAUAAUUAUUUUCUAGGCAAUCCCUGCUUGGGGAUUCAGCUUUCAUGGCUGCUACUCACAAGAAGAUAGUGAAAUGUAUUUUAGAAUUGUUAAUAACCACUAAUAAAUAGUACUAUAUUGAAUAGAUCUACUCCAUUCUAUAUUUCUUGCUGUGACAUUGUUUCUCAAUCAUUUGCUUCAACCAACAUUAUGUAUAAAGUCAUCUUGUAUUUUAGAUAAUGAAAUUGCUUUACAGAAUAAUGUUUUCCCAUCUGAAUAAUUUUAUUUAUGUAGUGUAAGGUUUUUAUAUUUUAUUUGCAUUGCAUUUAUUGACGGUGCACCAAACUAAAACUUAAAAGUUGGCCUUUGUACCCUUGUUAUAGUCUCACUUAUAUUUUAUUAAAUGCUCAAAGAUUUUUUCCUGCUCGGUUCCUUCAAAUUCAAGUUUAAAUUGGUACCAGUGUGAAUCAGAAAUAAAACAUUUGUUACUGUGUAAAAGAAAUGUGAAUAAAAUUCCAGGUAAAGGCUUGAUGCAUCCUCCAACCUUGUAUCUUAGGCCAUUAUAAGUAAUAACCAAGUCCUUGUACACUAAAAUUCCUUGUAUUUGUAAAGUGAUAUAUGUGGUAUAAAUAUACCAAAUGA